AUAGGGAAGGCUGUGUUGGAAGGUCUGGGCUCCCACUGGAGAGGAACUCCUCCUCCAGCAUUGACAGAGAAGGUGGGAGCGUUUCAGAGUGCUUAUUGUAGCUGUAGCACUCCUAAUCAAAAGUUCCUAGGGACCCACAUAGUGUGCAGGUUCUUGUUCCAGCCCAGCACUGAGUUAGCGAAUCAAGGGCUUAGCGAAAAGUUGAUUGAAUCAGGACUGGGGCAAAGGAUGCUGAUUGUAAAACCUAUAAGUUCCUGAAAGAAACCUGCAGAGAAAGGGAGAAGAGACAGGAUGUCACCUCCACAGCAAGCAGAGUUGCAAUUGGGUGAAAAGGAAAUAUUAAAGAA